rnacentral:rRNA from 1 species
CACGUAGGGGGCAAGCGUUGUCCGGAAUCAUUGGGCGUAAAGAGCUCGUAGGCGGCUCAGUAAGUCGGGUGUGAAACCCUCAGGCUCAACCUGGGGACGCCACCCGAUACUGCUGUGGCUAGAGUCCAGUAGGGGAGUGUGGAAUUCCCGGUGUAGCGGUGAAUUGCGCAGAUAUCGGGAGGAACACCAGCGGCGAAGGCGGCACUCUGGGCUGGUACUGACGCUGAGGAGCGAAAGCGUGGGUAGCAAACAGG